rnacentral:rRNA from 1 species
AGUGAACGCUGGCGGUAGGCCUAACACAUGCAAGUCGAACGGCAGCACAGUAAGAGCUUGCUCUUACGGGUGGCGAGUGGCGGACGGGUGAGGAAUACAUCGGAAUCUACUUUUUCGUGGGGGAUAACGUAGGGAAACUUACGCUAAUACCGCAUACGACCUACGGGUGAAAGCAGGAGAUCUUCGGACCUUGCGCGAUUGAAUGAGCCGAUGUCGGAUUAGCUAGUUGGCGGGGUAAAGGCACACCAAGGCGACGAUCCGUAGCUGGUCUGAGAGGAUGAUCAGCCACACUGGAACUGAGACACGGUCCAGACUCCUACGGGAGGCAGCAGUGGGGAAUAUUGGACAAUGGGCGCAAGCCUGAUCCAGCAAUACCGCGUGGGUGAAGAAGGCCUUCGGGUUGUAAAGCCCUUUUGUUGGGAAAGAAAAGCAGCAGGUUAAUACCCCGCUGUUCUGACGGUACCCAAAGAAUAAGCACCGGCUAACUUCGUG